rnacentral:rRNA from 1 species
GCACUCCCGGGGCGUCUCUAUCUCAUUGCGAGAGGAGGCGCACCUAGAGCGUACACGCUGAUACCCGAAAGAUGGUGAACUAUGCCUGGCCAGGACGAAGCCAGGGGAAACCCUGGUGGAGGUCCGCAGCGAUUCUGACGUGCAAAUCGAUCGUCGGAGCUGGGUUUAGGGGCGAAAGACCAAUCGAACCAUCUAGUAGCUGGUUCCCUCUGAAGUUUCCCUCAGGAUAGCUUGCGCUCGGGCGAGACGAGUCUCAUCCGGUAGAGCGAAUGAUUAGAGGCCUUGGGGUCGAAACGACCUCAACCUAUUCUCAAACUCCAAAUAGAUGAGAACCCUGGCUUUCUUGAAUUAUGAAGCCAGGGGCUCGGAUCAGAGUGCCAAGUGGGCCAAUUUUGGUAAGCAGAACUGGCGCUGUGGGAUGAACCAAACGCGGAGUUAAGGCGCCCCAAUCGACGCUCAUGUGAAACCAUGAAAGGCGUUGGUUGCUUAAGACAGCAG